rnacentral:rRNA from 1 species
AACGUAGGUUCCGAGCGUUAUCCGGAUUUACUGGGCGUAAAGCGCGUUCAGGCGGUUUGGCAAGUCGGGCAUGAAAUCUCUCGGCUCAACCGGGAGAGGUUGUCCGAUACUGCUGGACUUGAGGGCAGAAGAGGGUGGUGGAAUUCCGGGUGUAGUGGUGAAAUGCGUAGAUAUCCGGAGGAACACCAGUGGCGAAAGCGGCCACCUGGACUGCACCUGACGCUGACACGCGAAAGCUAGGGGAGCGAACGGG